GGAGGGGCAACUAUUUUGUUUUCUUCAUUUCUUUUUUCUUUUUUUGUGUUGGCAGAAAGGGAUACUUCAUACUAAGUAGUAUUUUGCUAACAUUCAAGAUCAUAUAUCCCUAAACUAUGGCUGAAUAAGUAUAUACCUAAAAGCCAUAGAAACUAAGACAGAAGCAGCAACCACUAACAGGGCCAGAUAGAAUAUAAUUUACCCUCUCAUUGCCAAUUGCAAGCAAGCCACAAUAUCAGUCUUCUCUUUUGAUAAAAUGAGCAGUCAAUAGCUUUGUAACUGUGAACCCAUGGAAGGAAUCAACUUGAAAUAGUUCUUUUAACCUUUCAUCGCAGAUGAUUGUCUUCUUAUCAGAUGGAUCCUGCAGCUCAUUUUCUUUUAUAUAUUGCCAUAUUCGCUUAAUAACAUCAGCUCGCGGCAAAGCAUUUUCAUCAAUACCUAAGAAUUUCACAAGGGCAUCUGAUAAUUGAACCGGAGCAAGAAAACCAGAUCCUCCGCCUUUCUGCCUUUUAUCUUUCUGCUUUGGCUCAUCUGAAUCUUCUUCUCUGCCUUUUUUCGGUAGCCUUCUCUUCACAGAAGUUUUGACUUGAGUGCCAUUUUCCUCAUUUAAGGGCCAAAUGUGCUUGGAUAGCACCUUGUUCAUCUGGAACAUGUCUAUACUUUUCACCUGAAAAAUUCCACUCAAAACUUCGUCACAUAAAAUUUUCCGCUUGUUCUCUGGGUUUUGUAAAUUCUUCUCCCGGAUAUAGGCCCAAAUCUUCUUGACGACCUCUGGUCUGCCAAGUUCUGGCUCGCCAACCAAUUUCUGAAGCUGUGGAGAAAGUGCACAUGGUUUGUUAAAGCCCCCUUUUUUCUUUGCUUCUCCAUUCAUUUUCUCAGACCGUGGUUUCUUCUUUGCUCUUUUGGCACUGUCAUCCUCACCCUCCUCUUCUUCUUGGGAGCAAGAAUCACCAUUUUCAUCUUCCUUUGAUUCUUGUUCUUCUUCUUGGGAGCAAGAAUCA
rnacentral:misc_RNA from 1 species